UACGUAGGGUGCGAGCGUUGUCCGGAAUUAUUGGGCGUAAAGAGCUCGUAGGCGGUGUGUCGCGUCGGCCGUGAAAACCUGCAGCUUAACUGUGGGCUUGCGGUCGAUACGGGCAUCACUGGAGUUCGGCAGGGGAGACUGGAAUUCCUGGUGUAGCGGUGAAAUGCGCAGAUAUCAGGAAGAACACCCGUGGCGAAGGCGGCUCUCUGGGACGGUACUGACGCUGAGACGCGAAAGCGUGGGGAGCAAACAGG
rnacentral:rRNA from 1 species